AGUGUUCAGGAUUCAAAGCGAGCAGCGGUGAGGCGGUCCAGAGGCAGGGAUGCCGCGGAGAAACCCCGAUGCCAGCAGCACAGUCAUCGCGGCGAACUUGGGCUGGAUUUCCUCAGGGGAAAAAAUAAUAAAAAGGAGGGAAUGGGAAAAAAACCAAUGAUAAUCCAGCUGCGGAGCGCUCAGGCUGUGCUGCGUGCAGCCCCUGCGCCCCGCGGUUUUUCCGCGGGUGGCCCCGCUGCCGUCAGCGCCGCGCUCCCCAACUCGGCCUCCUUCCUGCCCCGGCGGAGGCCAGAGCGUUGGCUGCACCAAAAAUCCCACCUUGCUGCAUUAUUAAAACUUCACGUCUUCCCGCAGGCUGCAAUUGGAAACGGGGAGCCGAGCGCUGGUGGCUCUGGCGGUGUUACGUUCAAAAUCGAUCUCCUUGCAAUUCGGCUGCUCUGUCAUUAGGCGUCAUUGUAAAGCUAUUUCUGCAG